UGGGGAAUCUUGCGCAAUGGGCGAAAGCCUGACGCAGCAACGCCGCGUGCGGGAUGAAGGCUCUCGGGUUGUAAACCGCUUUCAGCAGGAACGAAAAUGACGGUACUUGCAGAAGAAGGUGCGGCCAACUAUGUGCCAGCAGCCGCGGUGAUACAUAGGCACCAAGCGUUGUCCGGAUUUAUUGGGCGUAAAGAGCUCGUAGGUGGUUCGGUAAGUCGGGUGUGAAAACUUUGGGCUCAACCCAAAGCCUGCAUCCGAUACUGCUGUGACUAGAGUUCGGUAGGGGANCGGGGAAUUCCUAGUGUAGCGGUGAAAUGCGCAGAUAUUAGGAGGAACACCGGUGGCGAAGGCGCCGCUCUGGGCCGAUACUGACACUGAGGAGCGAAAGCGUGGGUAGCAAACAGGAUUAGAUACCCCUGUAGUCCCUGAGCGGGCUGGCAAGGCGCAU
rnacentral:rRNA from 1 species